rnacentral:ribozyme from 13 species
CAGAUUGAAGUUGAAGAGAAAGAGAAUUUGCCUCUUCACAAAAUAAAGCAAGAGAAAAAGGAUUCAUUUUUCCAUCAAAAGGAGUUCCUUCUUUCAAAGAUUCUCCUUCUCUUUUCUCGUUCUUCUUUGAUUUUGUCUCUUUUCUCUCUUCUUCUUUCUC